GAUAAGUGUCUAAUUUCAGUAAUAUUUCAUAUUAAAAUAUAGGCACUUAUGAGGAUUUAUUGCUAAUUUACAUAUAAAAUAAUCCCUAAUUUAUGAAUUUAUACCUUUUUACAUUUUUUAUGAUCUUUAUUUGAAUAAGAGUAUUUUAUUCUCAAAUUUGGUGUUAAUUGCAGAUUUCUAAGGAAGAUUGGAGAUUUGAAUUAAAGAUGAAUGAUUUGAGCUAAAAAGAUAAAGAUAGAAGGUCCCAGAAUGGAAAAAGAUGCAAAGANNN
rnacentral:lncRNA from 1 species